ensembl:snoRNA
UAUCCUGUUCUAGUACCACACAUCUGCCUCUUAUUACGGAUGUGUGGCUAUGCUAACAGGAAAGAGAAACUGUCCUUCAGUGUCUGAAGGGGUUGCGCAGCCUCAUUUCUGCCACUCCUAAUGAAACGAUGGUACAGAGUGAA